AUCCAGAUGACAAGUCCCGAAUAAGACGAAACACGCUUCAAACUGGAU
rnacentral:hammerhead_ribozyme from 1 species